GGGACGCGCGAGAAACAGAGCCCCUGAUUCAUCUUAUCUCCCCCACCUCGUCGCCACCCACCGCCUCCCCUUCCUUCUCUGUCCCACCUCGCCGCCGGCCCUCCCCAUCCUCUUCUCCCACCUCGCAGCUCUGGAGGCUGUAGGAUCCGCAACAUCCCCUUCCCACCCACCCCUCUCGCGCCCAUCUUUCUCUCUUCACGCUGCUCCUUGCUGCGCCACCCGCGGCGGAUGAUUCAGACGAAGCCCGGCGAAUCCCGCCACCGCGAAGCACAGCCCGAGCUCCCCUCUCACCGCAGCACCCUCCCAUCUGGCUAGAUCUGGUGCUUGAGGCCAACAAAGCCCACCCGUGGUCCUCCCCCCCCCCCCCCCCCCCCCCCCCCCCCCCCCAUGGCUAGGGUUUCGGGCAUGGGCGACGGCGCCGGUGGCCAUGUCGUUCUCCUCUCGUCCGGUGAGUGCACCCCUGGCUUCAUAAUCUCUCUCUCCCCCUUUCUAUAACCUCUUCUCUUCUCUUGUAGACGUGUAGGGAGGAAUGGCCAGUGGACAACAUUGUUGCUGCUCGGGAUGAAGCAGACAUGGAUCAGGUGAGUCGUUCCACUUCUCCUCUCCGCUCUGGUUCGUGGCACAUCAGGAGCCAUUGUUGUUCUGGCGGUGUUAUGAUUUGCCACUGUUUGGGCCCAAGUGCCUGCUGCAUGUGAUCAAUUUGAUUUUGUUGUGCUGCUAAAGUGUUGAUUGAUGCUUCGAUUGAACUGCAAGAUUAACCCCUUGUGCUGCCACCAUAGAUUCGAUGAAGUAGGGCAAACUUAUUGCAGGUAUCCAAUGAGCAAGAAGGAAGUUGGUUUUCGUUUCUGAGAAUUUUUAUGUUGUGCUCAUGCAAUUUGAGACGUAAGCUCUAGUGAGAAAGUGCAGCCUACAGGUCUGCUUUGGUGGAUUUUGAUUACUUGAUGCUUUGGCUGCCUCUAUUAUCAUGAUGCCUCGACACACGUUGUCCUGUCUCCACUUCCUACAACAAAUUGUAUAUAUGAAUUAAUUUUUGAGAAGUGCAGGCUGAUGCAGCACUAUGAUGCUUGGAUGCGGUCCUGGAGGCAUAAAAGACACAUGAUGUUCACAAUCAUGGUGGCAGCAAGAUUGCGCGUACAUCUAUUGAUCGUUCAUAAUGAGCUCCAAAACAGAGAAGCGUCAUGGUGUACCAUGGCUUGAGGAGAUGCAUAUGUCGGAAUUUUUGUGUAUUGCUGGAACAUGGUUUGCAUCACUACAUUCUAAGUGUAUAAUGUGAAGGUGGACAGAUCAGCCUAAUUACUAACGGAAUUUGAUACCUUUCAACGAGACGAUUCAGAAGAUAUAUGGAUGAUUAUAUGGGUGCGUGGCAAGUAUACUGCAAUGAUGAUGAUGAUGAUGGAUGCUUUUGGUUUUAGUUAAGUUGUAUGGAUGUUGUUGAUGUUGUUGGAUGAUGUUCCUUAGUUACGUAUUAGUUUAGUUGUAGGGAUGUUGAUGGAUUAUGUCAGUCAAAGUUUUGAUGUGAAGAAAAUACAUAGAUUAUGUAGCAUAUUUGGAUGAUGUUCCUCAUGUAAUAUCCACUAUUGUAAACCAACAGUUCAUCCAAUAUACGAUUUCUUCCUCUCA